rnacentral:lncRNA from 1 species
GAUAAAAGUCGUGCGUCCCAUGGCAAACAGUCAAGAGCAAUGUCUCUGGACCCAGCAACUGUCCCUAUGAUGUAGUGUCAGUGCCCACACCACGGGGAGUGUCUAAUCACGACGCUUAGAUUCAGUCGAGCAAGCGCAGUACACGUGCGAUGAGGUGUUGUGGACAGCAUGAGAAACCCACUGUUUCCACUCAGAAACCCAUCAUCCUAGUGCCCAUUCAGCACUUCAACAGUUACUGUCAUUGUAUAACCCUCAACAGACCCAUAGUUUAAAAUCACUUGGCCUCGCGAACAUAAAGCACAUGAACUGAGAGUCCAUGGCCUUAGUCUCUGGUCUCUCCUGAUGGCCAGUAGUUACGGUAAAAUGUUACCAGUGGAAUAUUCUAGCUUCAGUUACUACCAAACUGCCAGACUCCUCAGAGACAUGCUUAACUUGGAGGUAAAUAAGUUUUUUCCAUUUACCUCGGAUUUUCAUAUAAAUGUGUUUAUUAUUAUUAUUAUUACGCUUUUUAGGGCUGCACCAGCGGCAUACAGAAGUUCCCAGGCUAGGGGCUGAAUCAGAGCUGCAGCUGCCAGCCUGUGCCACAGCCACAGCAAUGCCAGAUCCGAGCCGUGGCAACCGCAGCUCACAGCAACGCCAGAUCCCCAACCCGCUAGGCGAGGCCAGGGACCAAACCCGCAUCCUUGAAGUUACCACGCGGGUUCGUUUCUGCACACCACAACAGGACAUCCCAAACGUACUUACUUCAAAGUUACAAUUAAAAACAAAUCUUGGUAAAUCAAGAAGAGACCACUAAAAUGCUAUGAGAAGGACUACAAUCCGCAACACCGGCAACACCAAAUGCUGCCAAGGUGGUGCAGCCACAGGACCCUCACUCGCAGCUGGAAGGAAGGCAACAUGGCUCAGCCAUUUCCAGAGACAGUGAGGUACUUCCGAAGACAGAGGUGAACAUAUUCUCGGCGUAGCAUCCAGCCACUGUGAAUCUUAGGGCCGCGAGUCCACUCGCUGCAGCACCACGGGGGGGACACCUGUCCAAAUGCACAGCAUGUACAACACCGACAGUCAACCCCAAUGACUGUAACAAGGGCACCCCCUGGCGGGGGGUGUCCAAAGUGAGGGAGGCGCUGCUCGGGGGCAGGGACAGGGAGCAGAUGGGAAAUCUCUGUACCCUCCACUCAAUCUUUUUGGGACUUAAAAUUGCUCCAAAAAAACAAAGUCUAGUUUUUAAAAACAAACAAAUAAAGAUCUUGGAAAGGAACAAAUUCCGAAUGACACUGAAAGAAAACCUGCUAACCGUGCAAAAGGCGGGCCUUCUGUGUGGAUGUGCACAGUUACAGGGGCACCCAGCCCCCUUCCCGGAGCACGAGUACCUUCACGGUCCCCAGCCCCACGGCUCCAGCCCGAGCAGGGGCUGCCAGCUGCUUCAGGCCAAGGAGAAGGGUACACAGGGAAUGCUCCCAGCCUCAGCCUCUGACACCCGCCCCCCGCGCCAGCUCCCCACAGAACCAUUCCUGACCGAGUCUCCUUCCAGAGGGUGUUACCGAUGACAUCAUCACUGUGCACGUACGUAUUGACGUGUCCGUGGCCGUGCCCUUGACAUCAGUUCCCGGGCCGAGGACUGAACCUGAACCACAGCAGUAACAAUGCCAGAUCCUUAACCACAAGGCCACCAGGGAACUCCAGGAAUUUCUGAUAAUUAGAAAUGUUUACUGAUUUUGACUCUUUUGACAUAAUCAUUUGAAAUUAUAAAAAUAAUCCAUGGUUACCAAAAAAUCAAAAGAAGGAAAAUCAACGAGAGACCGAUCCAAGGUAAAACACAGCUCUCUGUCCAUUACGUCCUGCCCAACCCCACCCCGAGACGUCAGGCCUGGUGAAAACGCCUUCCUAGAUCUUUUCCUGUGUGCACACAGGGGCAUGUUCUGAAAAUGAUUCUUAAUUAAAAACAACGCAGAUCCAUGAAACAUCUCUACUUUGCAGGACGUCAUGUCCGAGGGCCCUGACCCCCCUGGGUCCAGCCACGGAAUGAGACACCUGCUCCACCUGAUGGCGGAGACUGGGGUGGGGGCAGAGCAGCGAAAGAGGAAAUGAGAAGCCUCUCUAAGGACAGGCCCACAGCCCUCAGAGCCAGCUGUCACCCUGCGGUGGACAUGAGCCUCUCAUUCCACUGACAGGCCUUCCUCCGGCUAUAGGAUCUGGUCGGUAAUUACAGGAAAGGCCUCGCCAUCAAGAUGGGGGAGGAGCUAAUUGACCAAAAGUUCAAUGUGCUGACUCAGGGACCGAUGGCCAAGCCUUCGAUUUCUUUUCCUCAAAAAGCCACUGACGUACAGUCCAUUAGGCCGCGGCCAUGCGGGCCCAGGAGACAGAGAGCUUCCGGUCAAAGCACCUGUGUGAGGCUUCACCAAACAUGCUCGGCCUCUGCAUCAGAAGGGGCCUCGCAGCGCUGCCGACCAGGGCAUUUUCAGGAGGCACCAAGCGAUGGGUUGCUGGUUCUAUGUCCUUUUGCGUGCUUGAUGCUUUGUGUCUGGUUCAGGUUUAUUUACUGACCCAUCCCAAGUGCACGAGCCAACAUCCCUUUGAGGUCCAGCCCUCCUCUAAGGCUCUGUGUCCCAAGUCUGUUAUCUUCUGCUCGUCAGAGUCCAGAACCCCUGCCCUGCUCAGGAAGGACACGUCUCGGGCACUCCGUCCAAAUGGGGGGAAACGUUGGGACGGUCCCGCAUCAAAUGCGGUGGGAAGAACACAGACUACGGAGGGCCAGAGACUCUGGCAGCCGAUGCUCCCGGCCAGGGUGCUUCUCCAUGUCUCGCUUUUCUCACAUCUCAAGAGAGAACAGAACGAGGCAGAGGCAUCGCAGUAUGUAAAGCACGUGGAACGCCGUGUAUGAUCAACCGAUACACAUAUAAGUACAGAGCAAGCGCUAAGCAGGUAUUAGCUAUACUCAUUACAUUGUUUUUGUGGUCAUGUCAUUAAGCAGAGCUUAGGAGAUGAAUGAUACUCUUUAAAUACGCUCAUACCCUAGGAGCCUAGGGCGACCAAAUGUAACUGCUCUUCUCUGCUGUGAAAGGGAGUAACAGACAUACAUGAAUCAUCCAUACAAGUAAACACAGGUUUCUGCAACUUUGUGUGUAUAAAUCAAAUCAUACCUAUCAACUGGGUAACUGCCACUGCAAUGCAUCUUGCAGUGAAUCCUCUCUGUCCCAGGGAAGCUUCUAGACCAGAAUGAUGCUAAGCACCUGUCUUAACAUACACAUUAUUUUAUUUAUUUAUUUAUUUAUUUAUUUAUUUAUUCAUUCAUAUUUCUUUUUAGGGCUCCCCCUGCGGCAUACGGAAGUGUCCAGGCUAGGUGUCAAGUCAAGGGGCAGCUGCCGGCCUACACCACAGCCCCAGCAACGUGGGAUCCGAACCACGCCUUCAACCUACACCACAGCUCAUGACAAUGCCAGAUCCUCAACCCAAUGAGCAAAGCUAGGGAUCGAACCUGCAUCCUCAUGGAUACUAGCUGGGUUUGUAACCUGCUGAGCUACAACAGGAACUCCAACAUACAAAUUCUUAACGUAGCACCUUUUCUUAUGCAGCUCCAGCAGACGGAACUCGGAAACAUUUAUUAUUCCUUUAGGGAACUGGCUCUAAGUGCUUCCAGCCUUCUCCCAGGAGGAGGGCCCAGCUCUGACAGCAGCACAUUACUAGGCAUAAGAUUCCCAAAGGUGUGACUGCCACACAGGAAGCCAGUAUGCCCUCUGCAGGAGGAACUAUGACGCUUUUAUCAAAACAGCACUUUCCUAGGAUGGCAGAAAAAGAGUAUCGCCUGCACCAACCCCAGACGAUGAGUAAUGGCUCCUUGGAGCAGUGUGUGCUGAGCAUGGUUCUGAUUGAUUAGUGAUGCCUGCCAUGGUCACAGGACUAGGGAAUAGAUGCAUGCACGCUGAGUACUCACCAUUCCCAUACCUAACGGUGCACAGGUACUCUGUGUCAGGGAUACACUGAGGGAUAAGGCUCCUGGUAAUUUGUCCAAAAAAACUAUAAAUUAAGCAGGGAAAAAACCCACAUUUGGAUAUGAGGAUGCAUAUUCUCUCAGAAUUAUAACUCUAAGCUGCUACAAAUUAUCCAAGACACAGCACAACCAUAAAACGUCCCUUAGCCAAAAAUAAAGAAAAUUUCAACACAAAUCCAGUCGCACUUGGGAGACAAGAGCAAUACGGAUUCUGUGAACACCUCCUAGUGGCAGGCCCUGGGCUCUGUCCUCAAGGUCAGAGCUCAACGCUUGUUCACUGUCGUGGUUCUAGAUGUAAAAAUGCUCUGACACACACACAAUCAACUGAUACGGACUGGAUGUUGACCACAUGUGAGUUAAUACAUGGUCAGGUGGGCUGUAUGAUGACAAAAGUGAGGCUAGGAAGUCACAGGAAUGGGCUUGUUGCUAAAGAGUCGCCUGGGGGGGGUCCUCCAGGGGACCAUGCUGUGAGUCAAAUGGCCCCUCACCAGAGCAAGUAAACAAUUCAUUGUGAAAGCACACACACCUUUCUGACUGGGUGGCUGAUGACACAGACCUCCCUCCAUCCCUACCGGCCUUUGUUUCAAGCCCCACCCCCCACCCCGGCUCCCCAUCAGCUGUACACACAUCACUGUCACCUGAUGGAACCAUCUGCUUCCCUCCCGGUGGAAAUGCCACUUCUGGGUGUUCAUCAACUGUUACCUGAAAGCAGCCGGCCAGGGAUCUUCGAGGGAGAUGCCAGGUCUCGGAGAUCUAGAGAACCAGGGCAAGUGUACUCCCGCCCCCUACUGGCCACACUUGGAGAGGCGCCACCCACAGGGCUUGGGGCAUUUCAGUUGGGGGGAGGGAGCCAGGCGAACACACUGGUCAGCCGCACAGUGGUAACUAAGGGUGGAGAGGAAUGAGAUGGAGGUGCAAUGGUCGGGGGGACGCUUGGGUCUCCAGAGGCAUCUGUUCCCAGCCAUUUCCCACCCUCGCCCCCCCAAUCCUCAAAUCCCCAAAUGACUGUUAUUUGAAACAGCUUCAUAGACUCAAGUUUUCUCCAGGGGUUUCAAAUGCAGCUCUUAUCUUCCAGCUGCAAAUAAAGAAAGUCCAGGUGUGAGUCAGCAAUUCCCAUUUUGAUUGGAUUUUGCAAUCACCCCACCCACAUCAAAUGCACCCUCUCAU